rnacentral:rRNA from 1 species
UCGCCUGUUUAUCAAAAACAUAGUUUUAUGAUACUUAUAUAAAAUAACUUCUGCCCAGUGUCUAAAAAGAUAAAUGGCCGCAGUACCUUGACUGUGCUAAGGUAGCAUAAUCAAUUGGCUUUUAAUUGAAGUCUAGAAUGAAUGGGAAAAUGGAAUUUAGCUGUCUUAAUUUUUUUAAUUAAAAUUUAUUUAUAAGGUGAAAAUACCUUAAAAUUAAAUAAAGACGAGAAGACCCUAUGAAUUUUUAAAUGUAUUUUUGUUGGGGCGACAGUUUAAAAAUAAUCUUAAAUUUAUAACAUAUAACGAAUUUUUUAAUAAAAAUUAAAUUACCUUAGGGAUAACAGCAUUAUUAUUAAAAUAGUUUGUGACCUCGAUGUUGGACUAGGAACUAAAAGGCUAACCGUCUUUAUAGAUUUGUUCUGUUCGAACAAUUUAAUCCUACGUGAUCUGAGUUCAGACCGGA